rnacentral:rRNA from 1 species
GACGAACGCUGGCGGCGUGCUUAACACAUGCAAGUCGAACGGAAAGGCCCUGCUUUUGUGGGGUGCUCGAGUGGCGAACGGGUGAGUAACACGUGAGUAACCUGCCCUUGACUUUGGGAUAACUUCAGGAAACUGGGGCUAAUACCGGAUAGGAGCUCCUGCUGCAUGGUGGGGGUUGGAAAGUUUCGGCGGUUGGGGAUGGACUCGCGGCUUAUCAGCUGGUUGGUGGGGUAGUGGCUUACCAAGGCUUUGACGGGUAGCCGGCCUGAGAGGGUGACCGGCCACAUUGGGACUGGGAAACGGCCCGGACUCCUACGGGAGGCAGCAGUGGGAAAUAUUGCACAAUGGGCGGAGGCCGGAUGCAGCAACGCCGGGUGCGGGAUGACGGCCUUCGGGUUGUAAACCGCUUUCGCCUGUGACGAAGCGUGAGUAACGGUAAUGGGUAAAGAGGCACCGGCAAACUAGGU